UGUUCUGUGGCUUAGUUGGUUAAAGCGCUGGACUAGCGAAACGGAGUCGUGUGGGUGCAAAUCCCACCAGAACAA
rfam:Aedes albopictus isolate Foshan contig135029, whole genome shotgun sequence.